AGAUUACAAGCAGCUUCCUGCUGACAAAGCUUUGGAGGAAUAAUAAUAUCUGGAAUACUAUGGAAUUUGGGAAUAAUAAUACUGGGGGGGAUAAUAACACCCUUUAGGGAAUAAGGUUGUCUCUCUAUUUCAUACGACCACGACACAAAGCAGCUGUAGCUUCUUAUAUGUAGCAGGAAUUAGCAGCUUCUUCAAGGUCUACGUGCCAGUUCCAGUUGAAAUGUUCCCAGCGUGUGUUCUGGCACUGCAGAUGGGAUGGGGAUCUCCCUGCAAAAUAAAACAAGGGGAGCUUCCAGAUCUGCUGGAAAUCUCUCUGUUUCCUGUGCCUGGGAGUAAAUAGCACUCAGAGAUUUCACCUUGGCAUCUGCUCUUCCUCCUUCCAAUCACUUAAGGGCAGCCUCAACUGAGGAAUAAGCAGGAGGAGCUUGGAGACGAGAUCCAGGGCCUAUCCUCAUCUCUGUCACACUUAUAAAUCUGGAGAAAUUCCACUUGUUCCUUGAGGACACACAAGGAUUUUAUUACAGCAGUGUUGAAAACUGGAAUCUGGCACAUCAUAUUAACAUAAAAUGCAAGGGAAAAAUACCCAUCAACAAGCAAAGGGCAAUACAGAAAAUAGGUUUGUUACGAGCAAAUUUGAUGUGUUUGUUUUCUUCUUCUUUUUUUUUUCCUCUGCAUUAAUGCCAUCCAGGCCUCUCCCAUAUAUUCUCGAGGAAAUGACUUCGUUAUAUCAGAGAAAUAUAUUGAAAAUGAAAUCAGUGGUAGCACCAAAUGUGCCCAGACAUGACAAGACAUUUAAGUAACAACAGCAGAAUUCUAUCUCCUUUCCUGUUUGUUCCAUGUUAACUUAUGGAGAUUGGUGCUGACUUUCUGGAAUGGCUGCAGCAAGCUGUAAAUGAUGUAUGAAAAUGAAAUGAAAAUUCUCUGCCCAAGCCACUGUGCACAGCAAUUGCUGCUGAGCUGAAUUAAUAGCUAUUUGCUCCUGUUUGCUCUGACACGGGAUGGAGCCAGAGAAGCCAGUAGCAAAGAUAUUGGAGUACCCAUCCACAGGUAUCCUGGACAGGACUCCUGCUGAUCCUUCACUCCAUCUUCAGUGGUGCAGUCCCUUCAGAGAGGUGAAAAGGAGGAGACACAAAUGUUUUCAGCCCUUCCUGGAAAAGCCCAAGGGGUUCACUCACAGAAUCAUAAAAUAUCCCAAGUUGGAAGAGACCCCUCAGGAUUAUCAAGUUCAACUCCUGGCUCCACACAGGACCACCCAAAAAUCAGGCCCUGUGUCUGAGAGCUUUGUCCAGAUGCUUCUUGAACUCUGGCAUGAUUGGUGCCAUGACUGCUGCCCUGGGGAGCCUGUUCCAGUGCCUGACCACCCAAAGUAAUAAGUUAGGUAGCAGUGAAACCCACUCAGGCCCUCCUUUUUCAACCUCUGUUUCCUGUCUUUGUUUACUUACCUCGUCCCCAUUUUUAUCCAACUGUAUCUGUGUUGCAACAUCACCACCCCUGGGCAUUAGGGAUGUGCAGGUGAAAGAGGUUAAUGGGUGUAAUUAAGUGAGCACAUGUGUGUGGGUACAAUUAGCACCUGGUGAUUAUGGCGGUGAGGUGAUGGGCAUGGUGACAAAGGACAUUUCUGGUGACCUAGUUACUAAACGCUCUCUGGUAGUCAUGCUACAGUGCAAAACUGCAAACAGUGAUUAUUAAUACCAUUAAAAAUUCAUGCAGGCUCAGGUUCUGCAAAUGCUCUGCCAUGUGAGUGCUCUCUGUGGAGGUAAAGAGGGCACUACAGCAAGCAUGGAAAACCAAUGUGCAGGUUAACAGUGCACUUGCAAAGUGCCCCUCGGAGUUUUGGGCUUGACCCACCCCUGUGCUGAAUCCAGCAGCAUCCCAUCUCAGCAUCCCUCCCCUCCUGGAUGUUCACUAUGUAGCUGGCCCUCUGAUCCCUCCCUUGUUCAUUUUUGCAUGGGUAACAUGUGCAAGUGCAAACCAAAAACAACAGAAAUUAAAAAAUAAUACAAAUGCCCCUUUGUGUGAUACUCCUUCCCAGCCAAGAAGCAAAGGGAGAUGGGAUUUAAUUUAGGCCAAUCCUCUGCUGCAUUUCAGAUAAAGCAUUUUAAUCUAGUCCUAGGUUGAUAAAAAUACCCCUCUCUGAUCCUGCAGGCAACUUUUUCUGCCAAUUUUCUUUCCAGGGAGGAAGAGAGGAGGAAAUAUAAUUGAAAGAACACUGCUGCAUAGAAAAUGACACUGACGGAGUAAUGCACUUUGGAACGGUGUGCUCUGCCAGCUCCUUGUUUUCUACUAUUUUUUCCUCUUUUUACUUCAGAAAUUUCAAGCUAUUGGUAAUCAUCGGUAUGAUUAGCUCUUUUUUUUCUUCUUUUCUUGUUUUUUUAUUCCCUGAGCUUCAGCCAGGUAGAAGUCUUUUAAAUACAGAAUGAUGUCUCAUUCCAACUUGCACAGUACAGCUUGUUCUCUUUCACCCCAAGCUGAGACUUUUCAGGGUUAAUUUAUUCAUCUAAUUGUUGGAUGCACAUGUGGUAUUGCAGUCCACAGUGAUUUUAUGGACUUAAGGCUAUGGUAAUGACUUAAUAAACAUGCAUGUGUACAUGAUUUGAAGGCCAUAUAUUCUCUUGAAUGUAAUAUUUCAGAAAAGACAGCAUGAAAAAUAAAAGAGUGGCCAGAGGCGUAUCUCAGUAGAGGUGUGAAAUGCUGAGCUUUUAGUAUUUUUUCCAAAUUAAAGACUCUGUUUAGAAAAGGUAUUACCUGUCCGGUUUCCUGACAGUCUGUGAACAUUUGAAUAAUCAACAGCAACAGGGCUUUUUGGGGUCCCUUUGCCUCCAUGCUGUUCUUUUGAGCCCUUCUCUAGCUUCUUAGUAUUGGUGUGUGCUUAUCCACGGGAAAGCAUGGCUGAACUGAUGAAGAAAAGGAACGGGAUAAGUUUGAUGGACAGCAUUCAUAAGAUGUGUAUUAAAAAUCUGUGAUGCUGCUGCUGAGAGAGUGAAGGGGGUGGGGUGGAAAGGAGAAGUUUCAGGGGCUGGUGAACUAAGCUACACCAGCUUAAACAAAACCCAACACAAAAGCACCACCUCUUUUAACGUGCACUCAUUUAACACUAAGAGGAGGGCAGAUUGGACUUUGUAGCUGAUGGGCAGUCUGUUACUCUUGAAAGUUGAAAUGAUUCUUCAUCGUCCCUUUGACAAUUACCAAGUCUGAUGGUCCGGAUGCAACUUCCCCUUUGAGAAGUGCCCAAAUGGGCACUGCCCAUAUAAGAAGGUGUAUUUUUCCUGCAGCUGGAUGGGAGACAAAGUUUUUGAACUUAGAAAUCUAGAAUUAGAUCUUCAGCUCAAUUUGGAAUAAAACUCGUCUCAGGUUUUAAGCAGAACCUCGGUCUGGAUACGGGAAGCUCAGCUGCACACUGGGGUUUCACCUGUGCUUUGCGACUCUGCUUCCUCCAAGCUGUAACCUGAAAAUGACACACUGCAUAUUCUGGCCAUCACUUGAGAUGUAAAAAUCCUCUUUGAUCAUGUUGCCCAUCAUUUUGGUGAGGCAAGCUUCUGCCCAGAGGCUGUUUUGGCCUUCAUUGGAUUAGGCCCCCAGAGGGAUGCCUGUGAUCCCUCAACAGGCUUUGGGUUUGAUGUUUAUUGCUCCUCAGCCCCCUCAGGGGCUGGUCUGGGAGACAGGCCAGUGUGGGCUGUGAAUGUAGAUGUGAGGAAGUCUUGGGAUCUUUAGGAAAACUCAUGGUUCAUGGCAAGGACCAUCCCAGGGUCCUGAUGCCCUUGACUUUGCUGUAUGCAUUUCUGCACCCAACCCCACCUUUGAAAGUUCACUAUGCUGAAGGAGCACUUUUUGUCUUUUUUUUUCCUUCUGCCUAAACGAUGGCAUUUUCUCUCCAAAAAGAUGAUACUUCUUAGAGGAAGGGCCAAUGAAAGAUGGCACAUGAAUUUUUCUCUUAUUCUGCCAUGACUUUGAGGCACCAACGAGAUAUUCCUCACUGCCCCCUUCACUUCCAUUUACUUUUGGCAAAAUAAGCCAAGUUUAACGGAUCUUUCCUUUAAAACCAGGAGCUAGAACUGAAAGUUCAGGCACCAGGUUGUGACCCCUUCGAAAUCUGUGUUGUUUAUGGCUGUUCGCUGCCGUGGCAAGGGCAGCACCACUCUCCCACUUGCUUGAUCCAGAGGCAAUAGUGAUGUUAUCAUGGCUUUCAGUUGGUUUUAUUUGGUCUGGCAGAAGGUGUGAUGUAGUAGUCUCCCACUUUUGCAUUUGCUGCCCUGCAUACUUAACGAGCAGGAGCAGUGUCUGUGCUGUCCCUGCAGACCAGCUAUAAGUCUUACUUAACAGGUGCUCAGCAGUGCUGGAAGCUUAAGGGUAAUAUCCAACAGGCACUGCCCUUGGCGUGCAGCAGCGUGCCUUCAUUCAGACUGUAGUGCCUGUGCUUCUCGCUGCUUCCCAGCCUCAUUAUUUUUCAUUUUUCUACUGCUAGUUUUGCUAGUAAGAUCCCAUUUGUCAAAACUGCUUUAUCGAAACAGGGAGAAGAUUGGGUUAGGGGAUUGUGGUGCAUAGUUUCUCAAAGGAUGAAGUUACUUCCAUAGCACAAGAUCACAUCAGCCAAGAACUGAAGGUGACUGCAAGCACAUUCAGGUGAAUGCCAUUCAUUAUUUGUACGUACAAAGAAGAUGAAGCUAUUCCUCUUUGCCCUCUUGGGAGGUGCUAUUUAAAUGAGGAAAAGGCAGGUCUUUCUUCAAAGAGCGUACAAGCUAGCCAAACAAGGCAAGGACAGGAGAAAAUAAAUAUUACCCUGACUCCUGAGAUCAAAUCAAGGCUGGAAGAUGCUUAAUGAUUUGCCUGAGGUGAUGUAAGUAGUCCAUAGAAGAAUGGAGGUAGGAACUGAACCCAGAGCCUCUGACCUGGUGAGCAGUGUCCUCUGAGAUGGUGUGUGGUCAGGAAAAUGGCAACAUAGCAAACGUGAGCUUUUGCCUAUGAACUCUGACACCUUGAGAAAAAGUGACAGCAUAAAAAAAAUCUAUCUUAUUCCUGACAAUAUUUUCCUCGUGUUACAUCUAUUCUCCCUCCCUUCCCCAAAACACGCAAUUUCCUGUAUUUUUACUGUUACUGUAUUUAAUAGCUAAUCUAAUGGUUAUCUUUGAUAGCAAAAUAUUUCAAAAUACAACUUCCUCUCUCUAAAACUUCCUGAGGAGGGUGAGUGGAGAGGAGAUGCAGGGCUCCUCUCCUUGGUAACUGAUGAUAGGACACAUGGGAAUGGCACAGAGCUGUGCCAGGGCAAUUUCAGACUAGACAUAAGGAAAAAAUUCUUUACUGCAAGGGCAGUCAAACACUGGAACAGGCUUCUGAAUGAGGUUGUUGGUGCCCUUGAACACUGCCUCUCAGUGCUCAAGAGACAUUUGCUCAGUGCCUUCAAUCAUAUGCUUUAACUUUUGGUUAGCAAUGAAGUGGUCAGGCAAAGACAGGUUGAUCUUCGAAGCUCCCUUCCAACUAAACUAUUCUGUCCUAUCCUGUACUGUCCUAUUCUGAAUUUUAGGAGGAAUUUUUUUCACACAGAGGGUGGUGAUGCACUGGAACAGGUUGCUCAAGGAGGUUGUGGAUGCCCCAUCCCUGGAGGCAUUCAAGGCCAGGCUGGAUGUGGCUCUGGGCAGCCUGGUCUGCUGGUUGGUGACUCUGCACAUAGCAGGGGGGUUGAAACUGUGGUCCUUUUAAACUCAGGCCAUUCUGUGAUUCUAUUAAUUUCCUGAACGUUCCAGAAUUCUGGAUCUCAGAAACAUGUUCAAGUUAAGGAAUGGGAAUAUGCUGGCAUUUUUUACAGGGCAUUCUUCUGGUGAAGAAUGAGGAGCUUUGUACUUUGUACAGUAUUUUAAGAUUGUCCCUUCCUUCAUUAUCAUAUUUUAUAUAGUUAAAAAUAGGAGUUAUAUUCACUGUGUUGGAAUAUAAGCUUGCAAUACACUGUGUAGUUAUCAGAAAGACUGUUCUUAAUUACCUGCAAAAAAACAUUUAUUGUCUGAGGUACUCUAUGAAUAUUAUCCCUUAAUUAGCUGCCUUAUUUCAGCUAAAUUAAAGAAAGAAAGAACAUUCACCAUGAACACUUUUUUUAAAAAAAUAUUAUUAUUAUUAGCACUAACUCUAUCCUCUGCAAUGGAAAAGAGAAAUGAAAGUACUUUAUUCUUUCACUGAGCUGAGGUGUAAGGUUUUGUUUUCUGAUGAGUUUGUGCUUAACUCUGCUUUUCUAAGAGCCACUUGAAACGGAGCACAGGCUGGAUUUUUAACCCGUGGUUGUGAAGGCAGCUCCAUUUUGAAGAAGGAAGUUCAGUAAUUGCCUCCUGACAGACCUCCCUGUCAAUUCUCCGGGAUAUCAGGGCUGGAUUGUUUGCUGGGAAAACGUCUAAAGUCAACAGAGGGAGGUACUGGAAAUAGCAUUCAGAUGGGCAGGGGAUAUCUAGUGGGUCAGAUGGAAGCACAUGAAAGAGUCAUGCUGAAGCCAGGUAAGGAACCAUUUAACAACUGUGUAACUGUGCCUCCUUUUUGGCUACCAGACUUUCCCUGGAGCUUUGACCUGCUAGCCAGCAGUGAGCAUGCCUGCUGCUGGUAGAUGCAAAGGUUUUUCUGUUGACUUACCCUUGGCUUAGGUGUGAAAACCUUGCCUUGAGGUUGAGGGUAAUUACUACUGCAUAGCAGAGACAUGUGGGGCUGAUUAGUUUUGGACUAGAUAGGGAGAGGGUAGAUGGUUCUCAGUUGGAAAUGAAAAUAGGAGGGAUGCUUUGUUCUGGGAAAGUGCGUGCUUAGGCUGAGGCUUUUUUCCAGACAAGGAUUUUAGUACCCAGGGCACAACAGAGGUAAAAUUAGGUCCUGUAGGCCAAAACUGUAAUGUCAACCAGCUGCUACCUAACUCUGUGGGUGUCUGGGUUCAGUAUCUGUCUUUGACCUCUCAGGUCUCUAAAUAUCUGGUUCAGUGCUCUGUGUGCCCUGUGCUGCCCUGCCUCAGUGAUAAGUAGGAUGACGUUUAGGUUCCCUAGCAAUGCUAAGUGCUGGACAGCAGCUCACGUGUAUGAAUGAAACACUAUCCAAGCUGAAACUGAAUCUCACCCCAGAAGAAGUGACUAAAUAUAUAUUUUUGUCAUUGUCCUCUUUCUUCUUUUUUAUUUUGGUUUAGAAAACUUUGCUUUUAUACUUCCCUGUAACACUUUAUUUUUACUUUUUUUUUUUGCAGUAGUGUGGAGUAAUCCUAUGAGAAUGACCAUGGCUGUCUUUACUGAUGUGGGAGGAGGGCAGAAGGAAUGACUUCAGUGCUGCUUUAAUUACUGAUCUCACUAACUGCCCUCCAAACCAGCAGGGUUUUGCCCGGAGCUGUUUCCAAAAGCCAGAAUGCGCUUCUGUAACUGAUUUACACCUGAAAGGGUGGCUCUGAUGGUUCCCCAGUAUGGAUUUUUACCCCAGUGAAGCUUGUACUUCUGGUAACAGAAAUCAAAGACUGUAAGUGUAUCCUGCCUGGACUGCUCACAUUGCUGGUGACAAGUGAUGCGAAAGUGACUGCACUGUCAGCUACUGGAAGCCUCAGGCAACGUGCAGCAGGGCUACAUACAGGGCUAGUUGCCUUAACUGCUUUUGACAUUUCUUCUCUCUGACCAUGAGGUUGCUGAGAUGGGAGAUUAAGUUGCUCGUGGAAGAAUGAGACCUGACACAGGUGAAAACCACAGGGAUUGCUGCAUAGGAGGAUGGAGUUGGUCUCCUCAGCCCCUUGUCUGGUUGUGUGGUCCACAGACAUCUGCUGCAAUACAGCUGCACACCUUCGCCUGGAGUGGAGGCUGUCCUCAGUCAUCCUGGAAGAGAAAGAAAGAAAGAAAGCUGUCCACCCUUUUCAGAAACCACUGAUUUUCCAUUGUAAAGAAAGAAUGAAAAAAACAAACAGAAGUUCCUUGCUUGCUGAUUGAUUUCGAAGGAAGAAAAUCUGCCCGGAGCAUCCACUGUUCCUGCGUGGGUGAUGAAGCGUUUGCUCUGGGAGCUUUGGUCACUCUGCCACUCACUUGCAAGGCACCGGGAAGCUGCUCUGCAUUCAGCAAUGCUGCAGUACCUUGUGGCUUGAGGUGCACUUGAUGAACAAGGUUGAACUGGAAUCUUUGAGCAGGAAUCCUCCUAAGCCUGAACACUGCCUAACUGGUGAAGAGUGAAGUGGGAAAUACAUACUUGUGAGCUCUGGGGCUCCUGUGGCUGGCGGACACUGCAACAAGAUCCAGCACAGCCCACAGGACUUUGAACUCAGUUUUCUCUUUGGAACAGCCUCCCCAGAUGAACUCUGAGCCUGGAUUUGAUGUUCCACACACGGUUUUGUCACAGCCCUGUGCUGUGCUGCCUGAGUGGCACCGAUGUGCAGUAAAGACCCAGCUGGCUGAGCACUUUCAGGACAAACAGGGAAGACAAUUUACUAUCUGAUUUUACGAGAGCCAUUUGCACUUUGCAGAAUUUUUUAAGCAGCAAAACCCUUAAGAGGCAUGUUCUGAGCCUGGUACCUCGGAGAAUUGCACACACAUUUCCUGUCAGCAGCCGGAGAAUGGUGUCUCACACCUGCUAUGAAGAGAUUGAAAUAUAUUCUUAAUGGCUUGAUUGCUUUGCAUUUCCCUGGAGAUGGGAUGACACACUGUGGCGUGGUUUCUUUUCCACAAGGAGCAUCCUGAACAGCGUGGCAGAGCUGAUGCUCGCUCGUACUGAUGCUCCCUGGGAUUUAACCUGUGCUUAAGAUCUAGCUAUGCUCAUAGGGAUGCUCUGGGCCUGGGAGGCAGCAGACAUGGAUCAUAGGUGGUUGCAGGCAGGAUCCUGCACUAGGACUGGUUUAAAGGUCAGCUGAUGGCUGGGCUAAAUGCCCAGAGGAAAACAUCCCUAAAAUGGAUGCUUUGCUGCAUGCAUCAUCCUGGGCAGCACUCUGAAAACCAGCAGUGAGAGAAGUUAAAACACAUUCUUUAGUUGCCUACCUCCAUGUGGUUUGUCAGAGCAUCCCAGCACCGCCAUGUGAAUGCUGCAGUGAUGCCAGGAGGACACCUUCCCACCUUGGCCAGUUACAGCCAGCACAUACCAGGGAAUGGCAGAAUAGGCCUUCCCCUGCAUCUGCCCCACUGUGAUGCUCCACCCAAAGGCUGUCCCUGUCAGCGAUGAACCUGUUAUCACACAUCAAAUAUUCAGCAACCAAAUACCAUCCAUUUCCAAGAGGCUUGAGCCCCAACCUCUUUGUUGCAUGGGAAGGAGGUGCACUAAAGGAUGACAGGCACUUCUGUAGGGUACCCUUUUAUUUCAGCAUCUUGAACAGCUGCAUGUCACCAGCCAUUAUCCUGCAGACCUCUGUACCACCCCACCUCACCACACACCCAACCCAUGGAAUGGUUUCUAAUUUUGGCAGAAGACGCUGUGGUUUCUGCUGAACGUGGUGGAAGUUGGGAGCUUUCAUCCCAUGGGAACACAGCGCAGUCCCAUAUCAGACUGAUACGAAAAGGAAACAGCGGUGCUUUUCUGCCUCAGAAUGUUUCUGUUUUUCAGACACCUGAAUAUAAACUCUGUAAAAAGGAAUUAUAUUAGAUAUGUAAAUAUUAAUAUUUAUGAAAUAAAUC
rnacentral:lncRNA from 1 species